CACACCGUAAACGCUGAUUACUAGGUGUAGGGGGUAUAGACUCCCUCUGUGCCGGAGUUAACGCAUUAAGUAAUCCACCUGGGGAGUACGGCCGCAAGGUUAAAACUCAAAGGAAUUGACGGGGGCCCGCACAAGCAGUGGAGUAUGUGGUUUAAUUCGAAGCAACGCGAAGAACCUUACCAGGGCUUGACAUCCUCUGCCCGCUUUAGAGAUAAAGCUUUCUCUUCGGAGACAGAGAGACAGGUGG
rnacentral:rRNA from 1 species